rnacentral:rRNA from 1 species
GUGCAGGGGAUGCUCAUCGUUUACUGUGAAAAAAUUAGAGUGUUCAAAGCAGGCUUACGCCUUGAAUAUAUUAGCAUGGAAUAAUAAGAUAGGACCUGGGUACUAUUUUGUUGGUUUGCGCACCGAGGUAAUGAUUAAUAGGGACAGUUGGGGGUAUUCGUAUUCCAUUGUCAGAGGUGAAAUUCUUGGAUUUUUGGAAGACGAACUACUGCGAAAGCAUUUACCAAGGAUGUUUUCAUUAAUCAAGAACGAAAGUAUGGGGAUCGAAGAUGAUUAGAUACCAUCGUAGUCUUAACCAUAAACUAUGCCGACAAGGGAUUGGCGGUUGUUCGUUUUGACUCCGUCAGCACCUUAUGAGAAAUCACAAGUCUUUGGGUUCCGGGGGGAGUAUGGCC